UGAGAUAAUGGGUGUCUAAAGUUUGUCUCCUAAGUUUGCAGUUAGGCACCUGUGGAUGUUCAAAAGAGCCUAUGUGAUUUAGGAACAUAAGUCACAUUCACUUUCAGUGGAACUUACACGCCGGUGUCGCUAAGGUGAUUUUGAAAAUUCCAUUCUGUGAUGGGACCUAAUCCCCAUAGCUGUAAGGAAAGGGAGAGAACCUAACUAGUUAUGCUCUGCAACUGAGAGAUAAUUAAAUAGAGGAAGACCUAGGCUGUAUAAGGAAUGGAGGGAGCUUCAUUCAGGGAAAAUUCAGGAGAGGGGAGCUAGAUAAAUUUCUUGCUCUCUGGGAAUGGCCUGAAGGAGGAGCCAGUAGUUACAAUUCGCUGUGGCCAGGAGAUAGCUACAGGAGCACGGUGAGUAGUAAGAAGCCCUGAGCCAGGGUUUAUGAGGACCAGGGAAUGAGCUAGAGUCCCAUGAGAGGUGGAAAACUAGUUUAAGUAAUACUUGGCUGCCCAGCAGAGAAAAGCCGGGGGGGCUGUACCCUGACAGAGGGGAAGCGUUGAAGUUGAGCUCAGGAGGAGCAAAGGAGCCCUUUGGUCUGCUUGUUUAAAGCUGAUCCCAGAAAAAAGAUCAAUGGUGACUUGGCUGGAAGGCUGACCCGCAGAAGACUCAAUAUGGCAAUGUGUAGAAGGGAUAGGAUGGAGGACUGACCGUCAUGGCUGAGGAAGCGUGAGAGGCAAAGUGCCCUGCAACACCAGUCUGGGAUGAGGAGGUGCCCGAAAGACACUUCCAGCAUUGGCCCUGAAUGUAGCUGAUUCUCUGCCUCAAUGAAGGAAUCCUUUUAGGAUCUCAAAACAACAUCACCACUGAGUAUCAUGUCUGCACUUGCCCUGAGUGGAAAGGAAACCAUUGGCCCACAUCCCAUGAAAUGCUAAGGUCCUUCAAUUCACAGUGAAAGUCAUGGGAGUUCAAGUGCUAAAAUAAACUAUUAGCUAAACUGCUGGAGAGAGAACAGAGAAGUCGAAUUGGACAAGCUUGAAACAACCAGUCUUUGCUCCAUGUAAUUCAUGUCAUGAGACCUGGCCUAUUUGCACCAAAUACUGCCCAGCACCAAGAGAAAGAGUACUGUCUAUAAAGUCAAUGGAUACUGUGCUGCAGUGGGAGUCGAGCCUGUUAAGCAGAUGCCAGGAUCAGCUGUGCAUCUUGCAGGAUCGAAGCUCAAUCCCCCACAAACUGAGCGGAGAAAAAAACAAUUCACAGCAAGUCAUUUAUCUGACAAAUUAGCCUCUUUCUGCUUGCCAGCAGGUUACGGUUUCCUCAGAUUUAUUUGCUAUCUGAAAUGAUUUGACAGUGUUUUCUGCCAUUUUUCAUUAACCCCUGUGGCUUUAUCAUGAUUUUUGCUAGUCCAGUGGUGUUGUUUAUUUGUGACUGGUCAGACAAGUCACAUGAUGUUCUGUUUCCUCGACUGGGUGAGACAGCAAGCACGUCUACUGCAAAUAUUUGCACACACAACGCUAGAAAUUUGCUUUGCGCAAGCUUUCCAGGCAGCACGACUCAAUCUCUCGCAUGCUCGUGGAAUGGGAACUGAAAGGGAAAGAAAGAUGAAGGAAGCGAAUUCAUGGAGAAGUUUGAAUGAAAAUGAAUACAUUUUCUGAACCCAUGUUUUUGUGUUUGUACAACACUUCGUGCAAUGGGCUCCUGCUCCAUAACUAAGACUCGUUGGCAC